CUGACUUUUCCCCUUCCCCCUGCCAUUCCCCCUUCCUUUCCACCUCUUCCCCGGUGUGGCGCUCCUCCGCAGGCAGGCUGGCGGGCAGCACGGCGGCGCGGGUGUGCGAGGUGGACGGCUGCCGCAGCGAGACCAAGCUCCAGCGUCGACCACCUGGAACUCUUGCAUCCAGUCUGUCUUGGUUUAAUCAUACACUUCAUCACAUCAGGCUGAACAAAGAGAGACAGGAGGAAAAGGAGGAAGUGGAAGAAGCCCUGAAGGACUCAUUGAUGAGGGCCAUAAGACAUCCUCCAGUUACUAUGAAUUGCCUGAUAUCCACCAACCUCCCUGCCGCAGUGUUGACUGUUGGGUCUCAGCAUGGAGCUGCAAGUGGAGGAGGACAUGCAUGA
rnacentral:lncRNA from 1 species